UGGUGGUGGUGUUGGUGGUUGUAACGAUCCGAGCAGAUAAUGUUACCCGAAGCGUUUUGAACCUUCUUGGAUUCCAUAUCCUUUUCGAGCGCUACGUGUCGGCUUCAUUCCUCCUGGAGGAACCAGAUGGUGUGUUGGAGAGGGAAACCCCUAGUGCAAAACGUAUGUUCUGAGAUAGGUGUAGGGUAAGGGUUUCAUUGGUUGUCGAGGUCAAUUUGACCCUCCGAUAAAUCCAGGUUAUGUUGGAGAGUAGGUGCACCAGUUAGGAUGACACCAGGUUAUUGGGAUUGUGUUGUGUUGUUGGGAGUCAUGACGUUUCAGCCUUAGUUUCUUAAGUUCUGUGAACCAGUGUAUCAUUAUAUGUAAAGCAUCAAGAAAGUGUGCGUUAGUGCUGAAACGUCACGCCACCCGAGAUAUGGUGUGCAUGUUUAAUAAAUAAGGUUUCUGAAUGAGGCAAUUGUGUAAAAAAUUCAAAAUGGCUGUGUAAUAUUUUGUGCGCUGUUCAAUUAUCCAGGAUUCAGUAUCUGGUGUAGGAACAAUAGUAAUGGAUUUCUGCUUGUGCAGUACUAGGUACAGCACCAUGCGCUAGUCUUUAACCCUAUCAGUACCAUGACACUUCAUAUUUAUUUAGGUUACUAUUAGUCGAUUUUAUUCAGCUUCAGAGAUACAUAUUGGGAUUAUAAUUGAAGAGCCUUGGACUAUUAACCUUUUGAUCUCCGUGGAGCCUUGAUAGUGUUAGCAAAAUCGUGUAAGCACACCUAAAACUCGUAAUAAAAGUGCGUCCCAGUAUUGAAGGGGUUAAGUAAUAUACGCGUUGUAUUUUGAAGUUGCAUUUUAUUUUAGGCUAGACACUUUGAUUACAAUCAUUGUGGAAUUGUGCAAAUUGGCCCUAUAUCAUAGGUCUUUGAUUUGGCAUAAUUACUUAAUGACAGUAGGUGAAGGACGUUUCUGGAUUGAUGGUUGAUAGGUUAAUUGUUGCAGCAGUGUAUACAAACAAGGGAGAAGGUCGGGUCAUGCCGGCCACCCACUAAACAUGGGGCAAAGAAACUUCUGAAAAGCCUCGGCAUUCUGCUCUUACUUUCCUCCUGAUCAGCAUGUGAUAGUUUAUCAGGUGUGCCUCUGCCUCCUCAGAAGAGGACGCUACCCGCGGAGGCUUGCGGUCCGGCACAGGUCCUGCCACUACUGGAGAGAGAACCAAACCGGCUUGUCAUAAUCCCCAACCUGCGGCUCGAAACGAAGACGCAUACUGUCCCGGUACACCUUCCACGGAGGAAUUGGACCCUGCCUAGCACCAGCUUUCCCUGACAACGUGUUGCCAUGCAGGAGGGACACGCAGCCUCGCUUCACCUUUCAUGGAGGAAUUGGAUCCUGCCUCACACCAGCUCUGCCUCUCUGCACCUUCCACGGAGGAAUUGGACCCUGGCUCGCAUCAGCUGCCCUGACAUGUGAUGUCAUCCAAGGAGGGAGGACACUGCUUUGCUGCACUUUCCGCGAUGUUAGGAGACUGGCUCGCUUCAUCUAACAUAACCUAACCUAAGCAAUACAUGUUUGCCAUCACUCGUGUAAAAUAUUCAUUCUAUCUAAUGUGAUUGUAUGUAUGUACCCACAGAAGUGCAGUGUUAUUAUUCCUUCCAUGUUCUGUUAUGAACCCAUGUAAAAUGUUAUUCCUAUCUAAUGUGAACGUAUGUAUCCAAUUCCUAUCUAAUGUGAAUAAUGUGAAUGUAUGUAUCCACAAGUGUAAUGUUAUUAUUCCUCCAUCUUUUGUGAUGCACAACGCUAUUAUUUCUUCCGUGUUCCAUGAUGUACCCAUGUACCUCAUGUUAGUAAUUAAUAAUAAAUCAUAAUUAAGAAAAU